rnacentral:rRNA from 1 species
GACGAACCGUGCAAACGUUGUUCGGAAUCACUGGGCUUAAAGGGCGCGUAGGCGGCUUGUCAAGUCAGGGGUGAAAUCUUUCGGCUUAACCGGAAAAGUGCCUUUGAUACUGACAGGCUCGAGGGAGGUAGGGGUAUGUGGAACUUCUGGUGGAGCGGUGAAAUGCGUUGAUAUCAGAAGGAACGCCGGUGGCGAAAGCGACGUACUGGACCUCUUCUGACGCUGAGGCGCGAAAGCUAGGGUAGCAAACGGG